rnacentral:lncRNA from 1 species
AAAUGAUUGAGGUGAUUCUGUGGGGUAACCUUGAGGAUGAGUGGGAUGACCUUUGGGGGGUCCUCUGUGGGGUGACCUUGGGGGGUGUGUGGGAUUAUGAGAGUGUCUGAGAAUUGAGUUUUAGGUUAAGUAGGGGUGAUUUGGGACAACUCUAAGGGUGUGACUGGGGGAUGACUUUAGGGGUCCCUGGGGGUGACCUUGUGAGUGAGAUUGGAGUUUCUUUGGGGUUUCUAGGAGGUGACUUUGGGGAGGUGAGUAGGGGUGAUUUUGAGGAUGUGCCAGACUUUGGGGUUGUCUGUUGGGCUGCUUGUGGGUAUCAGCAGAGAUGACUUUGGAGGGUGACCAAGAGGGGUAUCUGGGGUUGACUCUGGGGCCCCUGUCCCCCUCUCCCCAGUUCUCAUCCAUAUGAGCAAGGGCUUCAUGUUACUGGCCGUGGCCCUGUGCUGAGUCCUCCUCCCGCCCAUGGCCCUCUCCUCCUGGCCAGUGGUCCUCCGCCUGAACAUGGCCGACUUUGUCUUCAGUUUCCUCUGCCUCGGCAUUGGUAGGUGUUGGCUUGGGGGGCGGGGGCCCUCCCUAACCCCAGCCCUGCUCUCUGGCUUUCUGGAGGUGUAUCUAGACUUCCGUGCUGCUCCCCUCGGGGCCUCUGUCUUAGCAUGUCUCUGGGGAGCUCUGACUCAGUUCUACUCUAUCUGUGGGAUGUCUCUCUCUCCCCCACUCUCUGUUUCCCUUUCUUUUUUUGUCCCCUCUCUCCAGGGCUCCUGAUUUCUCUUCAGCCUGACGCUCUUUUCAGUUAACGGCAAGGCGGUGCACCCAAGUCCGGUGGUGUCCUACCUGGUGACCUCCUACCUGUGCUGGGACGCCAGCGACUUGAUGCUGCACUCCGGAGCCGUGUCCUACCUAAGCCCAGUGGGCAUGUGAAGCAGAGGGCAGCCCUUGAAUGCGCGGCGGCUGAGCUACCGCGGGUGGGCCGUGCAGCAGGGCGCAGCGAGGCGGACAUCCAAACAGCGGAACUCAGACGCUGACUCCGAGCGCACCCCGGGCCUUCCCAUUUCAUACACCCUCGAGGAUGAGACCCAAGCACCUCCAAGGAAUAGCACCCGAGGUCUUCAGGACACCGACCGGUAGCCAUGGCCAGAUGCCCGGCCAACCCCUUCAGCGUGGCCACGCCCUGGAUAUUCGACCUCCCCUGAGGCCCCACCCCCUGAUAUCAGGCCACGCCCUCCGAGGGGACCGGUGGCAAACUCCAGCCCUCGCUCUAGGGCCCGCCCUUUGCGGCUUUGUCCCUGCCCACUGGGUCCUCACAGUACCUCCACCCCAGAGGCCCAGCAUCCCCUCCCGUUCUGCAGACACUUGUCCAGCGUCCCGCUGAGCUCGGCAGUGUGGCUAGUUUGUGUGGCCCUGCCCCUGGUGCCCAGCCAGGGUGGUCUGCAUGGAACUUCUUUCCCGGAGUUCCGGCCUCAGCUCCGAUGUCCACCCUUGUCCCCAGGUGGACACAGCACCGCCCAGCAUUUGGUGCAACUCCACCCUUCUGCAGAACGGGCCCCUCCCUGGGAAGGCAUGGCUUGCAAUAACAUCCCUCUGUACCUUUUCUGGCUUCCCCGCCACAAUAAAACCUCUCAGCCUCAGACCUUCCAUUGCCCCCCACCUCCCCACCAGGGCAGGGUCCAUCCUAGUGUGAGUGAACUGUUCUGGCGUCCCUGACUUGCCCUUUGGGA